rnacentral:tRNA from 1 species
UCCCUGGUGGUUCAGUGGCUAAGACUGUGCUCCCAACUUAGGGGACCCAGGUUCAAUCCCUGGUCAGGGAA